AUUGAACGCUGGCGGCAUGCCUUACACAUGCAAGUCGAACGGCAGCACGGACUUCGGUCUGGUGGCGAGUGGCGAACGGGUGAGUAAUGUAUCGGAACGUACCUUUCAGUGGGGGAUAACGUAGCGAAAGUUACGCUAAUACCGCAUAUUCUGUGAGCAGGAAAGCAGGGGAUCGCAAGACCUUGCGCUGAUUGAGCGGCCGAUAUCAGAUUAGCUAGUUGGUGGGGUAAAGGCCUACCAAGGCUACGAUCUGUAGCGGGUCUGAGAGGAUGAUCCGCCACACUGGAACUGAGACACGGUCCAGACUCCUACGGGAGGCAGCAGUGGGGAAUUUUGGACAAUGGGGGCAACCCUGAUCCAGCCAUGCCGCGUGAGUGAAGAAGGCCUUCGGGUUGUAAAGCUCUUUCGGCCGGGAAGAAAUCGCAUCAGCUAAUACCUGGUGUGGAUGACGGUACCGGAAUAAGAAGCACCGGCUAACUACGUGCCAGCAGCCGCGGUAAUACGUAGGGUGCGAGCGUUAAUCGGAAUUACCGGGCAUAAAGCGUGCGCACGCGGUUGUGUAAGACAGGCGUGAAAUCCCCGGGCUCAACCUGGGAACUGCGCUUGUGACUGCACAGCUAGAGUACGGCAGAGGGGGGUGGAAUUCCACGUGUAGCAGUGAAAUGCGUAGAGAUGUGGAGGAACACCGAUGGCGAAGGCAGCCCCCUGGGCCGAUACUGACGCUCAUGCACGAAAGCGUGGGUAGCAAACAGGAUUAGAUACCCUGGUAGUCCACGCCCUAAACGAUGUCAACUAGGUGUUGGGUGGGUAAAACCAUUUAGUACCGUAGCUAACGCGUGAAGUUGACCGCCUGGGGAGUACGGCCGCAAGGUUAAAACUCAAAGGAAUUGACGGGGACCCGCACAAGCGGUGGAUGAUGUGGAUUAAUUCGAUGCAACGCGAAAAACCUUACCUACCCUUGACAUGUCCAGAAGCCCGGAGAGAUUUGGGUGUGCCCGAAAGGGAACUGGAACACAGGUGCUGCAUGGCUGUCGUCAGCUCGUGUCGUGAGAUGUUGGGUUAAGUCCCGCAACGAGCGCAACCCUUGUCGUUAAUUGCCAUCAUUUAGUUGGGCACUUUAACGAGACUGCCGGUGACAAACCGGAGGAAGGUGGGGAUGACGUCAAGUCCUCAUGGCCCUUAUGGGUAGGGCUUCACACGUCAUACAAUGGUCGGUACAGAGGGUUGCCAAGCCGCGAGGUGGAGCCAAUCCCAGAAAGCCGAUCGUAGUCCGGAUUGCAGGCUGCAACUCGCCUGCAUGAAGUGGGAAUCGCUAGUAAUCGCGGAUCAGCAUGUCGCGGUGAAUACGUUCCCGGGUCU
rnacentral:rRNA from 1 species